ACAUUGGUUGUUCAGUGGGAGAAUUCUUGCCUUCCAUGUGAGAGGUCCAGGUUUGAUUCCCGGCCAACGCA
rnacentral:tRNA from 1 species